UGUAGGAGUGAGCCUGCUCGCGAUAGCGGUGUGUCAGCCAACAUCUUCGUCAACUGAUACACCGCUAUCGCGAGCAGGCUCACUCCUACA
rnacentral:misc_RNA from 2 species